AAUAUUGGACAAUGGGGGCAACCCUGAUCCAGCCAUGCCGCGUGUGUGAAGAAGGUCUNCGGAUUNUNAAGCACUUUAAGUUGGGNGGAAGGGCCUUAGGUUAAUACCCUGAAGUUUUGACGUUACCAACAGAAUAAGCACCGGCUAACUCUGUGCCAGCAGCCGCGGUAAUACAGAGGGUGCAAGCUUUAAUCGGAUUUACUGGGCGUAAAGCGCGCGUAGGUAGUUGAGUAAGAUGGGUGUGAAAUCCCCGGGCUUAACCUGGGAACUGCUUUCAUAACAGCUUAGCUAGAGUACGGAAGAGGGUAGUGGAAUUUCCUGUGUAGCGGUGAAAUGCGUAGAUAUAGGAAGGAACACCAGUGGCGAAGGCGACUACCUGGACUGAUACUGACACUGAGGUGCGAAAGCGUGGGGAGCAAACA
rnacentral:rRNA from 1 species